rnacentral:rRNA from 1 species
GGAAUCUUGCACAAUGGAGGAAACUCUGAUGCAGCGAUGCCGCGUGAGUGAAGAAGGCCUUUGGGUUGUAAAGCUCUUUUGUAGGGGAAGAUAAUGACUGUACCCUAAGAAUAAGGUCCGGCUAACUUCGUGCCAGCAGCCGCGGUAAUACGAAGGGACCUAGCGUAGUUCGGAAUUACUGGGCGUAAAGCGCGCGUAGGCCGUUGAGUUAGUUAAUUGUGAAAUCCCAAAGCUUAACUUUGGAACUGCAAUUAAAACUGCUCGACUAGAGUUUGAUAGAGGAAAGCGGAAUACAUAGUGUAGAGGUGAAAUUCGUAGAUAUUAUGUAGAACACCAGUUGCGAAGGCGGCUUUCUGGAUCAACACUGACGCUGAGGCGCGAAAGUAUGGGUAGCAAAGAGGAUUAGAUACCCUCGUAGUCCAUACCAUAAACGAUGAUUGCUAGAUGUUGGAAAUUUAUUUUCAGUAUCGCAGCUAACGCAUUAAGUUAUCCGCCUGGGGAGUACGGUCGCAAGAUUAAAACUCAAAGGAAUUGACGG